UCGAUCGACUCUCGACUUUUUACUCUCGACUCUCGACGUUUUACUCUCGACUCUCGACUUAUUACUCUCGACUUUGAGUGUAUCUAAAAGUCGAGGGUCGAGAGUCGAGAGUAAAAGUCGAGAGUCGAGAGUAAAAGUCGAGAGUCGAGAGUAAA